UCUAGUACUGGAAGGGAACUCUGUCC
rnacentral:piRNA from 1 species